rnacentral:rRNA from 1 species
AGCGAACGCUGGCGGCAGGCUUAACACAUGCAAGUCGAGCGGGCAUCUUCGGAUGUCAGCGGCAGACGGGUGAGUAACACGUGGGAACGUACCCUUCGGUUCGGAACAACUCUGGGAAACUGGAGCUCAUACCGGAUACGCCCUUAUGGGUAAAGGUUUACUGCCGAAGGAUCGGCCCGCGUCUGAUUAGCUAGUUGGUUGGGUAACGGCCUACCAAGGCGACGAUCAGUAGCUGGUCUGAGAGGAUGAUCAGCCACACUGUGACUGAGACACGGCCCAGACUCGUACGGGAGGCAGGAGUGGGGAAUAUUGGAAAAUGGGGGCAAGCAUGAUCGAGCCAUGGCGGGUGAGUGAUGAAGGCGUGAGGGAUGUAAAGCUCUUUUGUCCGGGACGAUAAUGACGGUACCGGAAGAAUAAGCCCCGGCUAACUUCGUG